UACAGAGGUCUCAAGCGUUGUUCGGAUUCAUUGGGCGUAAAGCGCACGUAGGUGGUCUGUUAUGUCAGAUGUGAAAGCCCUCGGCUUAACUGAGGAAGUGCACCUGAAACUGGCAGGCUUGAGUACGAAAGAGGGUCGCGGAAUUCCCGGUGUAGAGGUGAAAUUCGUAGAUAUCGGGAGGAACACCGGUGGCGAAGGCGGCGACCUGGUUCGAUACUGACACUGAGGUGCGAAAGCGUGGGGAGCAAACAGG
rnacentral:rRNA from 1 species